rnacentral:rRNA from 1 species
AGCGAACGCUGGCGGCAGGCUUAACACAUGCAAGUCGAGCGGGCAUAGCAAUAUGUCAGCGGCAGACGGGUGAGUGACGCGUGGGAACGUACCUUUUGGUUCGGAACAACACAGGGAAACUUGUGCUAAUACCGGAUAAGCCCUUACGGGGAAAGAUUUAUCGCCGAAAGAUCGGCCCGCGUCUGAUUAGCUAGUUGGUG